rnacentral:rRNA from 1 species
GACGAACGCUGGCGGCGUGCCUAACACAUGCAAGUCGAGCGGGGAAUGCAGCAAUGUAUUCCAAGCGGCGGACGGGUGAGUAACGCGUGGGCAACCUGCCUUGUACAGGGGGAUAACACAGGGAAACUUGUGCUAAUACCGCAUAACAUCACUUUGGGACAUCCCGAGGUGAUCAAAGGAGCAAUCCGGUAUAAGAUGGGCCCGCGUCCGAUUAGCUAGUUGGUGGAGUAAUGGUUCACCAAGGCGACGAUCGGUAGCCGAACUGAGAGGUUGAUCGGCCACAUUGGGACUGAGACACGGCCCAGACUCCUACGGGAGGCAGCAGUGGGGAAUAUUGCGCAAUGGGGGAAACCCUGACGCAGCAACGCCGCGUGAAGGAUGAAGGUUUUCGGAUUGUAAACUUCUUUGAUGAGGGACGAAGAAAUGACGGUACCUCUAAAACAAGCCACAGCUAACUACGUGCCAGCCGCCGCCGUAAAAC